rnacentral:rRNA from 1 species
UACGUAGGGUGCAGGCGUUAUCCGGAAUUAUUGGGCGUAAAGGGCUCGUAGGCGGUUUGUCGCGUCGGGAGUGAAAACCAGGUGCUUAACACCUGGCUUGCUUUCGAUACGGGCAGACUAGAGGUAUGCAGGGGAGAACGGAAUUCCUGGUGUAGCGGUGAAAUGCGCAGAUAUCAGGAGGAACACCGGUGGCGAAGGCGGUUCUCUGGGCAUUACCUGACGCUGAGGAGCGAAAGUGUGGGAGCGAACAGG